rnacentral:rRNA from 1 species
GAUGAACGCUGGCGGCGUGCCUAAUACAUGCAAGUCGAGCGAACAGACGAGGAGCUUGCUCCUCUGACGUUAGCGGCGGACGGGUGAGUAACACGUGGAUAACCUACCUAUAAUACUGGGAUAACUUCGGGAAACCGGAGCUAAUACCGGAUAAUAUAUUGAACCGCAUGGUUCAAUAGUUAAAGACGGUUUUGCUGUCACUUAUAGAUGUAUCCGCGCCGCAUUAGCUAGUUGGUAAGGUAACGGCUUACCAAGGCAACGAUGCGUAGCCGACCUGAGAGGGUGAUCGGCCACACUGGAACUGAGACACGGUACAGACUACUACGGGAGGCAGCAGUAGGGAAUCUUACGCAAUGGGCGAAAGCCUGACGGAGCAACGCCGCGUGAGUGAUGAAGGUCUUCGGAUCGUAAAACUCUGUUAUUAGGGAAGAAAAAAUGUGUAAGUAACUAUGCACGUCUUGACGGUACCUAAUCAGAAAGCCACGGCUAACUACGUG